rnacentral:rRNA from 1 species
CCUACGGGAGGCAGCAGUGAGGAAUAUUGGUCAAUGGACGAGAGUCUGAACCAGCCAAGUAGCGUGAAGGAUGACUGCCCUAUGGGUUGUAAACUUCUUUUAUAUGGGAAUAAAAUGUUCCACGUGUGGGAUUUUGUAUGUACCAUAUGAAUAAGGAUCGGCUAACUCUGUGCCAGCAGCCGCGGUAAUACGGAGGAUCCGAGCGUUAUCCGGAUUUAUUGGGUUUAAAGGGAGCGUAGGUGGAUUGUUAAGUGAGUUGUGAAAGUUUGCGGCUCAACCGUAAAAUUGCAGUUGAAACUGGCAGUCUUGAGUACAGGAGAGGUAGGCGGAAUUCGUGGUGUAGCGGUGAAAUGCUUAGAUAUCACGAAGAACUCCGAUUGCGAAGGCAGCUCACUGGACUGCAACUGACACUGAGGCUCGAAAGUGUGGGUAGCAAACAGGAUUAGAUACCCGAGUAGUC